AUCCAGCUGAUGAGUGCCGAAAUAGGAUGAAAUACGCGUCCUGGAU
rnacentral:hammerhead_ribozyme from 1 species